rnacentral:rRNA from 1 species
UACGAAGGGGGCUAGCGUUGUUCGGAAUCACUGGGCGUAAAGCGCACGCAGGCGGAUUGAUAAGUCAGGGGUGAAAUCCCGGGGCUCAACCUCGGAAUUGCCUUUGAUACUGUCUAUCUCGAGUUCGGGAGAGGUUGGCGGAAUUCCUAGUGUAGAGGUGAAAUUCGUAGAUAUUAGGAAGAACACCAGUGGCGAAGGCGGCCAACUGGCCCGAUACUGACGCUCAUGUGCGAAAGCGUGGGGAGCAAACAGG